rfam:Rhodotorula sp. JG-1b unplaced genomic scaffold RHOSPscaffold_101, whole genome shotgun sequence.
GCUAAUAUAGUUCAACGGUUAGAACAUAUCCCUCAUAUGGAUACAAUGUAAGUUCGAUUCUUACUAUUAGCU